rnacentral:rRNA from 1 species
ACCCCGUAACUUAGGGAUAAGGGGUGCCACCAUCAGGUGGCCGCAGAGAAUAGGCCCAAGCGACUGUUUACCAAAAACAUAGGUUUCUGCUAAGUCGCAAGACGAUGUAUAGGAGCUGACGCCUGCCCGGUGCUGGAAGGUUAAGGGGAUCUGUUAGAGCAAUCGAAGCAGUGAACUUAAGCCCCAGUAAACGGCGGCCGUAACUAUAACGGUCCUAAGGUAGCGAAAUUCCUUGUCGGGUAAGUUCCGACCCGCACGAAAGGCGUAACGAUUUGGGCACUGUCUCAACAACAGACUCGGUGAAAUUGUAAUUCCGGUGAAGAUGCCGGAUACCUGCGACAGGACGGAAAGACCCCAUGGAGCUUUACUGUAGCUUGACAUUGGGUCUUGGUACUACAUGUACAGGAUAGGUGGGAGGCUUUGAAACCAGGACGCCAGUUUUGGCGGAGCCAUCCUUGGGAUACCACCCUUGUAGUACUGGGACUCUAACCAUAGGCCAUGAAUCUGGUCUUGGGACACUGUCAGGUGGGCAGUUUGACUGGGGCGGUCGCCUCCCAAAAGGUAACGGAGGCGCUCAAAGGUUCUCUCAGUACGGUCGGAAAUCGUACGUAGAGUGUAAAGGCAAAAGAGAGCUUGAUUGCAAGACAUACAGGUCGAGCAAGGAUGAAAAUCGGACUUAGUGAUCCGGUGGUUCUGCGUGGAAGGGCCAUCGCUCAACGGAUAAAAGCUACCCUGGGGAUAACAGGCUUAUCUCCCCCAAGAGUCCACAUCGACGGGGAGGUUUGGCACCUCGAUGUCGGCUCAUCACAUCCUGGGGCUGUAGUAGGUCCCAAGGGUUGGGCUGUUCGCCCAUUAAAGUGGUACGCGAGCUGGGUUCAGAACGUCGUGAGACAGUUCGGUCCCUAUCCGUCGCAGGCGUAGGAAAUUUGAGAAGACCUGUCCUUAGUACGAGAGGACCGGGAUGGACGUACCUCUGGUGUACCAGUUGUUCUGCCAAGGGCAUGGCUGGGUAGCUAUGUACGGAAUGGAUAAGCGCUGAAAGCAUCUAAGCGCGAAGCCAACUUCAAGAUAAGAUUUCCCACCGCAAGGGUAAGACCCCAGAAAGACUAUCUGGUUGAUAGGUCGAAGGUGUAAGUGCAGCAAUGUAUUUAGCUUAUCGAUACUAAUAGGUCGAGGACUUGACCAA